rnacentral:rRNA from 1 species
GACGAACGCUAGCGGCAGGCUUAAUACAUGCAAGUCGAGGGGUAACAGGUCUGUAGCAAUACAGAUGCUGACGACCGGCAAACGGGUGCGGAACACGUACAGAACCUUCCUUCGAGUGGGAGAUAGCCCAGGGAAACUUGGAGUAAUAUCCCAUAGGAUCAUAGAGUGGCAUCACUUAGUGAUUAAAGAUUUAUCGCUUGAAGAUGGCUGUGCGGCUGAUUAGGUAGUUGGUGUAGGUAACGGCUCACCAAGCCUUCGAUCAGUAACUGGUGUGAGAGCACGAGCAGUAACACGGGAACUGAGACACGGGCCCGACUCCUACGGGAGGCAGAAGUAAGGAAUAUUGGGCAAUGGAGGCAACUCUGACCCAGCCAUGCCGCGUGGAGGAUGAAGGUCCUCUGGAUUGUAAACUUCUUUUAUUUGGGAAGAAAUGCCGAUUUUCUAAUUGGUUUGACGGUACCAGAUGAAUAAGCACCGGCUAACUCCGUGCCAGCAGCCGCAGUAAAAC